rnacentral:tRNA from 1 species
GGGGUUGUGGCUCAGUGGUAGAACACUCGCCUAGCAUGUGCGAGACGCUGAGUUCCAUCCUCAGCACCACA